CCUACGGGAGGCAGCAGUGAGGAAUAUUGCGCAAUGGCCGAAAGGCUGACGCAGCGACGCCGCGUGUGUGAAGAAGGCCUGAGGGUUGUAAAGCACCUUCAAUGGGGAGGAAAAAGGUAGUCUUAAUACGGCUGCCCUUGACAUUACCUAUAGAAGAAGCACCGGCUAACUCCGUGCCAGCAGCCGCGGUAAU
rnacentral:rRNA from 1 species